rnacentral:rRNA from 1 species
UUGAAGAAUUUGAUCCUGGUUCAGAGCUAACGUUGGCGGCGUGCCUAAUACAUGCAAGUCGCACGAGAAAUCUUGCCGCAAGGUGAGAGAGUAAAGUGGCGAACGGGUGAGUAAUGCAUAGGUAACCUGCCCUUGAGAUUAGGAUAACUCCGCGAAAGCGGGGCUAAUACUGAGUAAUGUUGUCUUGGCGCAUGCCAUAACAACCAAAGCCGAAAGGCGCUUGAGGAGGGGCCUAUGUCCCAUCAGCCAGUUGGUAGGGUAAUGGCCUACCAAAGCUAUGACGGGUAGCCGAUCUUAGAGGAUGACCGGCCACAUUGGGACUGAGACACUGCCCAGACUCCUACGGGAGGCAGCAGUAAGGAAUAUUGCGCAAUGCCCGAAAGGGUGACGCAGCGACGCCGCGUGGAGGAUGAAGGCCCUUCGGGGUUGUAAACUCCUGUCAGAGUGGGAAGAAAUUCCGGAGCAAUCCGGAUUGACCUGCCCACCAGAGGAAGUGCCGGCUAACUCCGUGCCAGCAGCUGCGGUAAUACGGAGAGCACAAACGUUGCUCGGAUUUAUUGGGCGUAAAGGGUGCGUAGGCGGCCAAGCAAAUCAGGUGUGGAAUCCUGCCGCUCACCGGCAGAAGUGCACUUGAAAAUACUUGGCUAGAGUACAAGAGGGGUGAGUGGAACUCUAGGUGGAGCGGUGAAAUGUGUAGAUAUCUAGAGGAACGCCGGAGGCGAAAGCGACUCACUGGUUUGUAACUGACGCUGAGGCACGAAAGCUGGGGUAGCAAACGGGAUUAGAUACCCCGGUAGUCCCAGCCCUAAACGAUGGAUACUAAGUAGGGGUCCCACCUGGGGUCUCUGCCGUAGCUAACGCAUUAAGUAUCCCGCCUGGGGAGUACGGUCGCAAGGCUAAAACUCAAAGGAAUUGACGGGGGCUCGCACAAGCGGUGGAGCAUGUGGUUCAAUUCGACGCAACGCGAAGAACCUUACCAGGGCUUGACAUGCAAGUAGUAAAGAGAUGAAAGUUGAAUGAACCGUAAAGUCGGUUGCUUGCACAGGUGCUGCAUGGCUGUCGUCAGCUCGUGUCGUGAGAUGUUAGGUUAAGUCCUUUAACGGGCGAAACCCUUGUCCUUAGUUGCCAUUCUGCAAAGAGGGACUCUAAGGAGACUGCCGUCGUUUUUAAGACGGAGGAAGGCGGGGAUGACGUCAAGUCAUCAUGGCCCUUAUGUCCUGGGCUACACACGUGCCACAAUGGUUGGUAUAGAGGGUCGCCAAGCCGCAAGGCGGAGCCAAUCCCCAAAGCCAAUCUCAGUUCGGAUCGGGGGCUGCAACCCGCCCCCGUGAAGCUGGAAUCGCUAGUAAUCGCGGAUCAGCCACGCCGCGGUGAAUAUGUUCCCGAGCCUUGUACACACCGCCCGUCAAGCCA